rnacentral:rRNA from 1 species
AUGGAUUGGUCAGCUCUCACCUGCUCCAUCGCCGUCCUGAUCAUUCUGUUCCUGCCGCUGUGCGCGUCCGACGACAGGCUUGUCUCCAGCAAGCCACUCUCCCCCGGCACCACCAUCGUCUCGGAUGGCGGUGACUUUGCAUUUGGCUUCUUCCCCUCUUCUGGCUCAACGCCGUCCAACCUGUACCUCGGCAUCUGGUACAACGGCAUCUCCGAGCUUACCGUGCCGUGGGUCGCUAACCGGGAAACCCCGGUCAGGAACACUACUACCUCCUCCGCGCCCACGCUCUCCCUCACCAACACCUCCAAUCUUGUUCUCUCUGAUGGUGAUGGCAGUCGUGUUGUUUGGACGACUGGCGUGGCCGCUGCCUCGAGCUCCUAUUCAUCAGAGGCGGUGCUUUUGAAGACCGGUAACCUCAUCAUCCGGUCAUCCAACGGCACCACGGUAUGGCAGAGCUUCGACCACCCAACUGACACGUUCCUACCUGGCAUGAAGAUGCGGAUCAGGUACAGGACACGUGCGGGUGGGCGCCUGGUAUCCUGGAAAGGCUCUGGAGACCCCUCACCAGGGAGCUUCUCCUACGGCUGCGACCCAGCCACCAUUAUCCAGAUGUUCCUCUGGGAGGGGUCACACCCGGUAUACCGCACCGCCCCAUGGACGGGGUACCAGGUGAAGAAUGAGUACCAAUACCUGAUGACCAACAGCAGCGCCAUCAUGAUAUACCUCAGUGUCGUCAAUAAUGAUGAGGAGACCUACGCAAUAUUUAGCGUCUCGGACGUUACCUGGCGGACCAGGCUCGUGUUGACCUACUCCGGCAUGCUCCAGUUCCAGGGCUGGAACAACAGCUCCUCUGCGUGGGUAAUCUUUGGGCAGUGGCCACACUACGGAUGCAACCGCUACGGCAACUGCGGCCCUUAUGGUUACUGUGACGAGACAGUGUUGCCCAUCCCGACAUGCAAGUGCCUCGAUGGUUUUGAGCCGACGAGCACAGAGGAGUGGAACAAGGGCAAGUUCUCAAAGGGGUGUCGACGGAAAGAGGCACUGCGUUGCAGUGAUGGUUUCUUGGCCUUGCCGGGGAUGAAGCCACCGGACAAGUUUGUGUUCGUUGGAGACACGUCGUUGGAGGAGUGUGCGGCGUCAUGCCGCCGCAACUGCUCAUGCGUGGCGUACGCGUAUGCCAACCUGAGCAGUGGCAUGGCCAGCGGAGGUAUGCCAAGGUGCUUGUUGUGGGUCGGUGAGUUGGUUGACACCGGGAAGUUACACGCAGACCCUGUGAGCGACACGCUCUAUCUGCGGCUUGCAGGCUUGGAUGCAGUAGCUGGUAAAAGGAGAAGGAGCACUGCAGUGAAGAUUGUACUGCCAGUUUUAGGAAGUAGUGUCCUGAUACUCAUGUGUAUUUCCCUUGCAUGGUUGAAAUCCAAAGGCAAGAACAGGGCCCAGGGAAAGCACAAGAAGGAGCUAUUGGAUGUUUCAAGUGAUCUUGAAUUCCCAUUUGUAAGAUUUGAGGAGAUUGCCCUAGCAACACAUAAUUUCUCUGAAACAUGUAUGAUUGGACGGGGUGGCUUUGGCAAAGUUUACAAGGGAACACUAGGCGAUCAGGAAAUUGCUGUCAAACGGCUAAAUAAGGAUUCUCAACAAGGAACAAAUGAAUUCAGAAAUGAAGUAAUACUUAUUGCCAAACUUCAACACAGAAAUUUGGUUCGACUUCUUGGAUGUUGCGACGAGGGUGAUGAAAAGUUGUUGAUUUAUGAGUAUUUGUCUAAUAGUAGCUUAGAUGCCACCCUUUUCGAUGAUUCAAGGAAAUUCUUGCUGGAUUGGGGAACACGUUUAAAUAUAAUCAAAGGUGUCGCCAGGGGGCUUCUUUAUCUCCACCAAGAUUCAAGGCCGACCAUAAUUCACAGAGAUCUCAAAGCCGGAAAUGUUUUGCUAGAUGCACAGAUGAAGCCCAAGAUAGCAGAUUUUGGUAUGGCGAGGAUCUUCGGGGAUAACCAGGAAAACGCAAACACCCAACGUGUCGUCGGAACAUACGGCUACAUGGCUCCUGAGUACGCAAUGGAAGGUGUCAUCUCUACCAAGUCCGACAUCUAUAGUUUUGGCGUGUUGCUAUUGGAGAUUGUAACCGGUAUGAAGAGAAGCUCCAGUAGUCACACCACGGGCUUCCCUAGCCUCAUAGCUUACUCAUGGAAUAUGUGGAAGGAGGGUAAGGCAGAGGAGUUGGCCGACCCAUCUAUCAUGGACACAUGCUUACCAGAUGAGGUGUUGCUUUGCAUUCAUGUAGGCCUCUUGUGUGUCCAAGAAAACCCAAAAGACAGACCGCACAUGUCAUCAGUCGUGUUGGCGCUAGAGAAUGGGAGCACCACACUGCCAGCUCCCAAUCGGCCUGCAUACUUUGCAGGAUGGAGCACUGAACUGGAGCAGCUCAGAAACAGUAUUCAGAAUUCUGUGAAUAGCUUAACUCUUACUGGUAUAGAGGGUCGAUGA